rnacentral:rRNA from 1 species
CCUACGGGAGGCAGCAGUGAGGAAUAUUGGUCAAUGGACGAAAGUCUGAACCAGCCAAGCCGCGUGCAGGAUGACGGCCCUAUGGGUUGUAAACUUCUUUUAUAUGGGAGUAAAACAGGGUAUGCAUACCGGCUUGAAUGUACCAUAUGAAUAAGGAUCGGCUAACUCCGUGCCAGCAGCCGCGGUAAUACGGAGGAUCCGAGCGUUAUCCGGAUUUAUUGGGUUUAAAGGGUGCGUAGGCGGAUUGUUAAGUUAGAUGUGAAAGGUCGGGGCUCAACCGUGAAAUUGCAGUUGAAACUGGUGGACUAGAGUAUAGUAGCGGUAGGCGGAAUGCAUGGUGUAGCGGUGAAAUGCUUAGAGAUCACGCAGAACUCCGAUUGCGAAGGCAGCUUACCGGACUAUAACUGACGCUGAGGCUCGAAAGUGUGGGUAGCAAACAGGAUUAGAUACCCGGGUAGUC